GGACUACUCGGGUAUCUAAUCCUGUUCGCUCCCCUAGCUUUCGCACCUGAGCGUCAGUUACCAGCCAGGACACUGCCUUCGCCUUUGGUAUUCCUCCGGAUAUCUACGCAUUUCACCACUCCACCCGGAAUUCUAUGUCCCUCUCUGGUCCUCAAGUCUGCCAGUCUUCGGAAACCUCACCCGGUUGAGCCGGGUACUGUCACUCCAAACUUAGCAGACCGCCUGCGUGCGCUUUACGCCCAAUAAAUCCGGACAACGCUCGCCCCCUACGUAUUACCGCGGCGGCUGGCAC
rnacentral:rRNA from 1 species